rnacentral:rRNA from 1 species
GACGAACGCUGGCGGCGUGCUUAACACAUGCAAGUCGAACGGAAAGGCCCUGCUUUUGUGGGGUGCUCGAGUGGCGAACGGGUGAGUAACACGUGAGUAACCUGCCCUUGACUUUGGGAUAACUUCAGGAAACUGGGGCUAAUACCGGAUAGGAGCUCCUGCUGCAUGGUGGGGGUUGGAAAGUUUCGGCGGUUGGGGAUGGACUCGCGGCUUAUCAGCUUGUUGGUGGGGUAGUGGCUUACCAAGGCUUUGACGGGUAGCCGGCCUGAGAGGGUGACCGGCCACAUUGGGACUGGGGUACGACCCAGAGUCCUACGGGCGGCAGGAGUGGGGACUAUUGCACAAUGGGCGGAGGCCUGAUGGAGCAUCUCCGCGUGUGGAUGACGGCCUUCGGGUUGUAAACCGAUUUCGCCUGUGACGAAGCGUGAGUGACGGUAAUGGGUAAAGAAGCACCGGCUAACUACGUG